rnacentral:lncRNA from 1 species
AUAACAUCAAAGUCUUUUAUCAUUAAUGGAAUUAGAUCUACCCCUAUACCUCUACCAUCAAUUUCCAUCCUAAGAUCUCUAGCUAUUUGGUUAGCGACAAGUAUCUUUCCAGAUGGAAGAGAUAUUUCUAAAGUAUACGGAAGGAAUUCACAUUCCACUUUAGACUUUGCAACAAAAGAAGAAGAAAUGAACGAAUGCGUAGCUCCAGAAUCUAUAAGCACAAAUGCAGGAAUAUUGGAAACAGAGAUGAUACCUGCGACGACAUUAGGGUCUCGUUCAGCUUCUUGCCUGGACAAGGAGAAAACUCUUGCUUUUCCUUUCUUAUCAUCUCCAGCCUUCUGUGCCUGAUUCUGAGGACAUUCUUUAACGAAAUGUCCUGAUUUCCCACAUUUGAAACAAACAUUUUUACCCAAUAAACAUUCUCCUUUGUGAAGUCUAUCGCACUUAGGACAACGCCUUUCACCACUAACUCCUGCUAUAUCCGUUCUUCCUUUCUUUGAUACAUUAUUCCCUUUUCCUUUACCGGUAUUCUGUCUCUCAAAAUUCCACUUCCUCUUACCUGAAAAGUUUUGAAUUUGGUAAGAAUUUCCCACGCUUUGAGUUCUUUGGUAAGAAAUAGUCUGGGCUCACUUCAGGACUUCUCGAUAAGUGCCUAACUCAAGAACUGACACUAUGUCACGAAUGUAAGGUUGAAGUCCACACUCAAAUCUUCUAGCCCGUUUUUCCUCAGUAUCCACUAAAUGCGGGGCAAACCUAUAUAAUUCCUCAAACUUGCGUUCAUAUUCUACGAGGGUCAUGUUUCCUUGCUGAAGUCUAAGGAACUCCAUCUCCUUUUGAUCUCUCACAGCUGUCGGGAAAAAAUUUUCUUCCACAAGUUCCUUAAACCUCUCCCAAGUUAUAGCUUGUUCUUCAGCAGGUGUUAGCGACCUAGUAGUCAUGUCCCACCAAUGGCUAGCCCCCUUUUUUAACAUAAAUACUGAAAAUGUUACCCUUUCAGCAUCAUCACAUCUUAUAAAUUUAAAGAUGCGCUCUAAUUCUCGUAACCAAUCCUCAACUGCUAAGGGAUCUGUACUUCCCUCAAACGAUGGAGGGUUCAUUUUCCGAAACUGCUCUAUCAUUGCAGUUCGAUCCCUCGAGUUAGGUACUAUUUGAGGUUGAAUAAUUGGUUGGUUAGGUUCCUGAUGAUCAACUGGUAUUUGUUGAUUUAAGGUUCGUUGCCCAGUCAAAGGUGGUGUAUGUUGUUGUUGUCCCAACUCCCGCAUUACAGCAAGUAGUUCUCGUGCAAAGCUUGCAACAUUAACUUCACCACUACUAGAACUAGCAUUAGCAUUGCCAUGGUUGCGCUUUGGAGGCAUUUCCUUUGAAUGAAAAAAAAUAUUCAUCCAGUUAAAAUUUACUUCAGAUCGUAAUACUAACUUUAGAAAAAAUUCAAAGGCCAAAGCAACUUUCCUUCAUAUAUAUACAUUAUUAUUUUUCACAAACAAAAACCAUGUUGAGGUAUGGUACAUACAUUCAACAGCAGAGAUACAUAUUACAUCCUAUUCUAUUCCAAAAACAAAGAUAGCUAAGUAAGAUGAUAUCUAAUCUUCUAUUUCUUCUGGAUCCUCAUCGGGAUCUUCCUCUGGGUCUUCUUCUUCUUCUUGGUCUUUUUCUAUCGUGCUUUGCUCCGAACCAUCUGGUAAUGGUACGGGAAAACUUUCCUCUAAAACUCUCGAAAAGCACCUAGCCAAUGGUCCCUUAACUAGCUUAGAUUUGAUAGCUCGUAAACUGGUAUUCAUGGAUAAGGAUAUAGUCUUCUUAAAGUUCCGCUGUAAAUCACGACUAGUCCCAUAGCUCUCUCGAGGCAAAUAGGUAAGAUCCUCAUAUGAAAGGUCAUCAUCAGACCAUGACACGAUCUCUUUUAUGACUGUGGCCCAAGGUUCUAGAACAGUUUCAUAUAGCCUCAGUAUCUUCACCUUAUUGCUUAGGCUGUGGUGUAUUUCCCAUAACAUCUCAAUAAUACAAUCUAGCAGGUCCAAAUGUUGUUCGAGGCUAUGAAGCGGAUGCAUACGGUAAUUAUAGUAAAAUAUCAAUAAUAUGUCUCGCUUCUUUGCAAAACCACAAGCUUCUGUCCUCGUGGGGGUUCUUAUUAGUCGUGCCAUAACUAGGACAAACAUGGAUUAUGUUACUCUACAAGGUUCUCAUAAAUGUCUUGAUAUAAGUGUUCAUGACUUCACAUCAUCAAUCAUAACUUGAUUAAAAUAUUCCCAUAUCCAGCCAUAGAUAUAACAAUUCGUUACAUAAGAAAACUCAUGAAUUUAAAAAUAAAUUUUACCUCGAUCGUUGGUUGAAAGUCAGUUGCUAGCUUCUUCGAUGAUUAAGGACAGUAACUUUCUUUUAAAAAAAAGUCUAAAGAAAAGUAAACCUUGCUCUGAUACCACAACUGUGACGCCCCGAACCUAAGCUUCGAGGGCCACGAACUUUACAUAAAAACUUUUGCUUUUGGUACAUGUAAAUAUUCUUAAAUAGGAAUACUACAUGUUAAAAACUUAUUUUUAUAAAACUUUAUGGCCGAUAAAAGUGCAUGCCAACAUGAAAUUUAAACAUUGUAAAUACGGCCUCGGCACUGUCAAGUUUAGUUGAGGCAGCAAACUUCGGCAGAUUUUAUAAAAUUCAUUCCAACUCCGUUUCAUAUGAAAUUGGUGGCAUUAGAAAGAUAAUUUCAAGUAGUUUUCUAGGUUAAAAUAUGAAAAUUUUCCAAGAUCAUAUGAUAUAGACGUUUUACUGAAAACAGUGAAGUAUUACACAGGGAAUCCAGAUUGACCUUUGGACGUUAAAACCUUGAUAAAUCAGACCAUAGAUAUCCAAAUUGAGUGAUUCCUUCGGCCAUACUUAGAAAACUCAAAGGGGAAAACAGAAAUAUUUUUAUAAUUUCAAAUGGACGUUUAUAGAGUUAGAAACAUCAUUUUGAAAUUGACUCCAGAAACUGUCCCGUUUCUGCCUUUUAUCACUUGCAAGGAAAAUAAACUAUAAAAACGUCUCUUAACAUAACAUGAAAGAUAUAAUUACAAAAUUUACUAUUAAUACCAUAAUACAUCAUUCCAUGUUCAUAUUUUUAUAUAAUACCAUAAGAAAAAUAGAUGUAAAAACUGCCAUCGAACAAAACACACAAAAGAAAACUUUCGGUACAAAACUUCGUUGUCCUUAAUCCAUCAUCGCGUAAGCCAACUAACUUCCAUCAAUUCAAAUGAUCAUGGAUCUGAAAAGUUUAGCAUAACAUACUUUGAGUAUAAGGAAAUACUCAGUAAGAUACCAUGCUUGAACAUUUAUCAUGAUAAUACUACACCAAAGAAAGCAAUCAAACCCAUACUUCCAUAUUCCGACAUGCCGGUGCCCUUCGGACUUGUCCUAAGGCAUAGAUAUAUCUAACAUUUGUGGAUUUCUCCACCAUAAUCAUAACAUUUGUGGAUUUCUCCACCAUUAACAUACUUUGGUUUUUCAUGCAUAACUUAAGCAUAAAUAUUACCAUGAAAAUCAUACCACAUAAGCAUAGAAGGUAUCUUACCGUAAAUCUUUGAAUCUUCGAUUGAAAAGCAAGUUGGAAGAGUUUAGUUCAAUUCCUUUUUCC